AUGGUAGCCCUGAGGAAUUUGAGAGCUCAAAUUUUUGACUGUUGUUGUGCUACGUGCCAACUGUCCCAAAUAUCUUAUUCACCUAACGGUCAUAUCAUUGAAGGACAUUUAUGUCUUAUCAUGUUGGGCUGCUCCCCGACUAUAAAUAGCUGCCCCCUAGAACCACUAGUUGGUUGGCAGCUCCGAGAGAAACUGACACUUAUCAUUGAGAGCAUUCCAUCCUCUGAGGACUUUGAGAGAAAAUCAUCAGUGAGGAAAAACCCAAACCCAACACCUAAAACCCAGAGAAAAUCAUCAGUGAGGAAAAACCCAAACCCAACACCUAAAACCCAAAGUGAUUGA
rnacentral:rRNA from 1 species